rnacentral:rRNA from 1 species
AAAACAAAGAGUUUGAUCGUGGCUCAGGACGAACGCUGGCGGCGUGCUUAACACAUGCAAGUCGAGCGGUAAGGCCCCUUCGGGGGUACACGAGCGGCGAACGGGUGAGUAACACGUGAGCAACCUACCCUCAACUUUGGGAUAAGCCUCGGAAACGGGGUCUAAUACCGGAUAACACCAUACUUCUCAUGGGGUGUGGUUGAAAGUUCUGGCGGUUGGGGAUGGGCUCGCGGCCUAUCAGCUUGUUGGUGGGGUAAUGGCCUACCAAGGCGUCGACGGGUAGCCGGCCUGAGAGGGCGACCGGCCACACUGGGACUGAGACACGGGCCCAGACUCCUACGGGAGGCAGCAGUGGGGAAUAUUGCGCAAUGGACGAAAGUCUGACGCAGCAACGCCGCGUGAGGGAUGACGGCCUUCGGGUUGUAAACCUCUUUCAGCAGGGACGAAGCGAGAGUGACGGUACCUGCAGAAGAAGGACGGCCAACUACGUGCCAGCAGCCGCCGUAAU